rnacentral:lncRNA from 1 species
CUACUAGGGAGUGCGCUCCUACUUUUCGUUCAAGCCAGCGGUAAUCAAAGGUAAUCUUAAGUAUGAGCACCACGCUCACACUUAAUCCUACAACUCUAACUAGUUGCAGCUAGCUAGAGCUCCUAUACAAGAUAGGACGAUGAUGCACACACAGGAGUGGUUACAGGUCACUAACUUCACUAAGACAACUAUAUUACUAAAGUAAAUGCACAACA